rnacentral:rRNA from 1 species
AUUGAACGCUGGCGGUAUGCUUAACACAUGCAAGUCGAACGGUAGCAGCUCUUCGGAGGCUGACGAGUGGCGGACGGGUGAGUAACGCGUAGGAAUCUGCCUGUUAGUGGGGGACAACGUGUGGAAACGCACGCUAAUACCGCAUACGCCCUACGGGGGAAAGGAGGGGACCUUCGGGCCUUUCGCUAACAGAUGAGCCUGCGUUAGAUUAGCUAGAUGGUGGGGUAAAGGCCUACCAUGGCGACGAUCUAUAGCUGUUCUGAGAGGAAGAUCAGCCACACUGGGACUGGGACACGGCCCAGACUCCUACGGGAGGCAGCAGUGGGGAAUAUUGGACAAUGGGCGAAAGCCUGAUCCAGCAAUACCGCGUGUGUGAAGAAGGCCUUAGGGUUGUAAAGCACUUUCAAUGGGGAGGAAAAAGAGUAAGCUAAUACCUUGCUUAUUGACAUUACCCAUACAAGAAGCACCGGCUAACUCCGUGCCAGCAGCCGCCGUAAUAC